rnacentral:rRNA from 1 species
GGAAUCUUCCACAAUGGACGCAAGUCUGAUGGAGCAACGCCGCGUGAGUGAAGAAGGUCUUCGGAUCGUAAAACUCUGUUGUAAGAGAAGAACGUGUGUGAGAGUGGAAAGUUCACACAGUGACGGUAACUUACCAGAAAGGGACGGCUAACUACGUGCCGG